UACGAAGGGUGCAAGCGUUACUCGGAAUUACUGGGCGUAAAGAGCUUGUAGGUGGUUUGUCGCGUUGUUCGUGAAAACUCACAGCUUAACUGUGGGCGUGCGGGCGAUACGGGCAGACUAGAGUACUGCAGGGGAGACUGGAAUUCCUGGUGUAGCGGUGGAAUGCGCAGAUAUCAGGAGGAACACCGGUGGGCGAAGGCGGGUCUCUGGGCAGUAA
rnacentral:rRNA from 1 species